AUGUCUUUCAAGAUGCUAACGGAUGUCACCCUCUUCAGGAUAGCUCCUCCAACGUGUCAGAAUCCGGAACCUCCGCCACAACCUCCACCUCCGGAGGCAUGGCAAGCUGUCAUGGCCGCCACCAACACCAACACGCAGAUGCUUUUGCAACUCUUGCAAGAGCGUAACCAAGGAAAUCAAGGCCAAGGCAACAAUCAAGCUCAGUUUGCUACCCUCAACAAGUUCCUCGCAAACCAGCUGAAGUCCUUCAGUAACUGUGUCGAGGCCACAGACACUAACGAUUGGCUCGUGGAUAUCUGCAAACAUUUUGAGUGUAGCAACGUCAGGCCUGAGGACUUUGUCAAGUUUGCUUCGUUCCAACUCAAAGACCAAGCUGCUGAGUGGUAUCAACAAUACAAAGAUUCCAGAGGAGGUCAUGUGAUUACCUGGGAUGAUUUCCGUCGGGACUUCAAAGCUCACCACAUUCCUCAAAGUGUUGCUGAGAGUAAGCAUGAGGAGUUCCGCAAUCUGAAGCAAGGCAGUAUGUCUAUUUACCAAUACAACAUCCUGUUUCAGAGGCUCGCUGUAACAGCCUGGAUUUUUGCCCUUUUCUUUUUCUGA
rnacentral:rRNA from 1 species